ACUGGGUGCGGUGGCACGUGCUGUAGUCUCAGCUACUUGGGAGGCUGGGGCGGGAGGUUCGCUUGAGCCCAGGAGUUCUGGGCUGUAGUGUGAUCAGUGUCCGCACUAAGUUCGGCAUCAGUAUGGUGACCUCCCAGGAGUGGGGGACCACCAGGUUGCCUAAGGAGGGGUGAACUGGCCCAGGUCGGAAACAAAGCAGGUCAAAACUCCCGUGCUGAUCAGUAGUGGCAUUGUGCCUAUGAAUAGCCACUGCACUCCAGCCUAGGCAACAUUGCAAGAUUCCAUCUCU
rnacentral:SRP_RNA from 1 species